AGCUUUGCACAGUGGCAGUAUUGUAGCCAAUGAGGUUUAUCUGGGGCGCGAUUAUUGCUAAUUGAAAACUUUUCCCAAGACCCCGCCGUGACGACUUGCUAUACAGUCGGCACUGGCAAUUUUUGACAGUCUCUAUGGAGA
rnacentral:snRNA from 1 species